rnacentral:lncRNA from 1 species
CCUGAUGCUGCCUUAAGCCUUAUGAGGUCGCCAUGGAACCGCAGAAACUCCUGGAGGGCAGAGCUGUGUCUGCCAUCUUCAUCAUUGCAUUACCACCACCCAGCACAGUGCCUGGCACAAAAGAGUUGCUCAAUAAAUAAAUCAGGAUGAAUGGAUAAAUACAUGGAUAGGCACUUUGAACUACAGAUGAGUUUAAAUACUUUGUGUUUUUCUUAGUCAAACAUGUGCAAUUAAGCAUGUGAUAAAU